rnacentral:rRNA from 1 species
UACGUAGGGGGCAAGCGUUGUCCGGAUUUAUUGGGCGUAAAGAGCGUGUAGGCGGCCAUGUAGGUCCGUUGUGAAAACUCGAGGCUCAACCUCGAGACGCCACUCGAUACUGCCAUGACUCGAGUCCGGUAGGGGAGUGCGGAAUUCCUGGUGUAGCGGUGAAAUGCGCAGAUAUCAGGAGGAACACCGGUGGCGAAGGCGGCACUCUGGGCCGGUACUGACGCUGAGGAGCGAAAGCGUGGGGAGCGAACAGG